GUGUCAGCCGCCGCGGUAAUACAGAGGGUGCGAGCGUUGUCCGGAAUCACUGGGCGUAAAGGGCGCGUAGGCGGCUCGGUAAGCGUGUGGUGAAAGCCCGGGGCUCAACCCCGGGUCGGCCAUGCGAACUGUCGAGCUGGAGCACGGUAGAGGCACAUGGAAUUCCGGGUGUAGCGGUGGAAUGCGUAGAGAUCCGGAAGAACACCGGUGGCGAAGGCGGUGUGCUGGGCCGUAGCUGACGCUGAGGCGCGACAGCGUGGGGAGCAAACAGGAUUAGAUACCCCAGUAGUCC
rnacentral:rRNA from 1 species